rnacentral:tRNA from 1 species
GCUGGUUUAGCUCCAACGGUAGAGCAGUCGCUUUGUAAGCGAAUGGGUGGCGGUUCAAAUCCGUUAACCAGCACCA